rnacentral:lncRNA from 1 species
UUUAGAAGCAAAUUAAAUUAAUUUAUUUCAAUAUUAUAGUAACAAAUCAGCUAACACUAUUAAGGAAUAAAAUUUUCAGCAAUUUAUUUAUUUCAUUUUGAUAUUUUAAAAUUUAAAAUUUUAAAUUGAAAAGUAUAAUCAAUUAAAAGUCUGCUACCCUAGCACGCGAAACGUCUGCCGCUCUGGCAUGUUUUUUAGGUUUUCUGUCUUUUGUCUUCUUGUUGGAUAGGCUGAGUUACGGCGGCUACUUCGCUCUUUAGUUCUUUUGAAUCAUCACGUGGAUCUCUGGUCUUCUACUUUCUUCUGCAACAAAUGGAAACUAGGUUAGCAGGGUUAACAUUAAAUGAAGAUGAAGAAGUAGUCUUACAAAUUCAGGAUGAGUCGCUCUCAGGUGAAGAGAAGGAAGUUUUUAGGUUAGUAGGUUGUUUCUUAACAGCUAGUGUCAUUCACUUCCUAGCAAUGAAAAGUACUAUGGCCAAUCUUUGGCAUCCCGUGCGGGGUGUUCAAAUUCGGGAUCUAGGAGAUAAGCAUUUCUUGUUCCAAUUUUAUCAUGUUAUGGAUAUGGAAAGGGUCUUGAAAGGGGCACCUCGGACUUUUAAUAAUCACCUAUUGAUGCUACAUAAGUUACAAUGGGAGGAGGAUCCUUUACAAGUGCCUUUAUUUUUUACGCCUUUUUGGGUGCAGAUUUAUGAUGUCCCUAUUGGACUAUUUUCUAAAAAUCUGGCAGUGCAGUUGGGUAAUUUUGUGGGGAGUUUCCUUGAGUAUAAUGAAUCGAAUUUGGGGAAAGAAAAUAGAAACUAUAUGCGAGUAAGAGUCCAGAUUGAUGUUAGACGACCAUUGAAAAAGAAAAAAUAAAUUAUGUAUCGAGGAAGUUGCACAUUUGUGAAAUUCAAAUAUGAAAGAUUAUCUCUAUUUUGUUUUUACUGUGGACGUUUGGGGCAUAGUGACUCAUAUUGUGAAGGAAAGAUGGCAUUGGGUGUGGAAGUUGCUGAGAUGGGAUGAGAUUUAUCACUGAGAGCUCAAUCUAGGAGGGUUCUAUCCAUGAACAGUGUUUGGUUGAGGGAAAAGGGUGAAGAGCGAACAAAAGUGAAUAAGGAUGGUAAUCAUAUGAAAGGAAUUUUUUCAUGGGCAGCAGGAAAUAAAAGUCAUGGGUGUGGGCGGUCCAUUGAUCCAAUUUUGGGAAUUAGUCUAGAAAGUAAUACGCCAUUCCUAAAUUCGCAUGGAGAAAAGCUAAUAACUAUUCCAGUGCUCACUGAAAUGGAACAUGAUUUGGAAGAAGGGAUAAUUAUUGGGGAGGAAGGAAAUAAGAGAGCUAGAGGUGAGCUAGGGGUACCAAUAGAGCAGGGGGAGAUCAAUAUUCCAGCAGUAAGAAACCGGAGAGUAAGAGAGGUCAACCAUUUAUUAUCAGCGGCUGCCAAGAAGCAAGCCGACCGAAUGCAAUGAAAAUCUUAAGUUGGAAUGUUCGUGGGUUAGGGAGCCCACGGACUAUACGUAGACUUCGGCAUAUGUUGAAGAUACAAAAUCCCCAAAUAGUCCUUUUUAUGUAGACAAAAUUAUGCAAGAGUCAAAUGGAGAGAGUUCGUUAUCGGUGCGGUUAUAUACAUGGGAUUGAAGUUGAUCCGGAGGGUACUAAAGGAGGGUUAUGUUUGGCAUGGAGAAACGAGAUUAGUGUCACACUUCACAGUUUUUCCAAAAGACAUGUUGAUGUUAUGAUAGAUGACAGUGAAGUAAGAGGAAAAUAGUGAUUUACGGGUUUCUAUGGAUCCCCUUAUACACAAGAUCGAGCUGAUUCUUGGGCUGUUUUGAGGAAUUUAUUUACUAGCGAGCAAAUCCCUUGGUUGGUAUGUGGGGAUUUCAAUGAAAUCAUGUACGGUUUUGAAAAGAAAGGAGAGCUUCCGCGAGAUGAAAGGAGAAUGGAAACUUUUCAUAGUACAUUGACGGAUUGUCAGUUGAUGGAUGUAGGAUAUUCAGGCAAUUGAUUCACAUGGGAAAGGGGAAAUUUACCUGAAACAAAUAUCCAAGAACGUUUAAAUAGAGGAGUUGCAAAUGGAGAAUGGAUGAAUCUGUUUAGGGAGGCUAAGAUCUCUCAUCUUGUUCACUCUUUUUCUGAUCAUUGCCCCCUUUUAAUUAAUACGGGGAAAGUUGACAAAUUGUUGAAUAAGAAAUUGUUUAAGUUUGAAGCCUGGUGGAUUAUGGAGGAUUUCUUUGAACAAAAGGUCAAAAAUAUUUGGGAGUCGUCUUCAGGAAAUUUGCUGGAAAAACUAGAUACGUUAAAAGAAGGCUUGGUCAGGUGGGCGGGGAAAAUUCGAAUUGCUAGAAGGGGAUGCAAGGAUUUGCUUAUUGCAAGGCUAUCAGAAUUGGCAGAGGCUGAUCGAGACGAUGUUAACUUGGCAGAGACAAUUGACGUGAAGAUUCAACUGAACUUAGAAAUUGAUAAAGAUGAACGUUAUUGGGAGCAGAGAGCCCGUGUAAACUGGUUAAAAUUCGGUGAUAGAAACACAACAUUUUUUCAUAGCCAUGCCUCGCAGCGACGUAGAAGAAACUAAUUCAAAAAUUGAAAGAUGUUGAAGGGAAUGAAAAUGAAGCAAUUUAGGAAAUGGAAAGGAUAGCACGGUCAUAUUUCCAAAAUCUUUUUACAUCAGAAGCAAGAGGAAGAGAUCAUCAUGUGUUGUCAGGAAUAGAUAAAUGCAUUACAGAGGAGGAUAACCAAAAGCUUACAGCUCCGCACUUACCAGAAGAGAUCCGAGAAGUAGUGUUUGCGAUGAGACCCACAAAAGCCCCAGGGGAGGAUGGUUUUCCGACUUUAUUUUACCAAAAGUGCUGGUACGUUGUUGGAAAUGAAGUAAUUAUUUUUUGUCUACAGCUUCUUAAUGAAGGUAAGGAGAUCAAACAUAUUAAUCAUACUCAUAUAGUACUCAUUCCAAAAGUAGCCAGUCUGUUUGAUAUGAAACAAUUUAGGUAGAUGAAUUUGUGCAAUGUGAUUUAUAAAAUUGUUGCAAAAGCUAUUGCUAACCGGCUCAGGAGAGUAAUUGAGAAAUGCAUUGAUUUGGCCCAAAGUGCUUUCGUACCAGAAAUAUUUAUAUCAGACAAUAUACUAUUGGCUUACGAAAUUCUUCAUACGCUUAACAUGAAGAGGUAGGGGAAAAAUGCUUUAUGGCUACGAAGCUUGACAUGAGCAAGACCUAUAAUAGAGUUGAAUGGAACUUCAUCAACAAUAUAAUGAUCAAAAUGGGGUUUAAUAGAAACUGGGUUGAUACUAUUAUGAAGUGCUUAACUUCUGUAUCUUAUUCAGUUGUGGUGAAUGGAUACGUAGGAGACAGAUUCCAACCAGAACGAGGACUUCGCCAAAGAGAUCUAUUGAGUCCGUUUCUCUUCCUCAUAUGUGGCAAAGGCUUAUCUAGUUUAAUACGUCUUGCAGCUAAAGAUGAGGCAUUAAAAUGUGUUAAAGUUAGCAGAAGUGGUCCGCAGAUUUCGCACUUGCUAUUUGCAGAUGAUUGUAUUUUGUUUAGUGAGGCGACUAGCAGAGGGGCCAGUAUACUGUAGGAAAUUUUAAGGGAAUAUAGGGGUUGCUCGGGUCAAUGUGUCAAUUUUGAUAAAUCUACGGUGUUCUUUAGUAAAAACACAACAGAGGAGGACAAGGGAGCGGUUGUACAAAUAUUAGGGGUCUGGAGCUCAAAUGAUCCAGAGCGUUAUCUCAGGUUGCUUAAUAUGGUAGGAAGGAAGAAGAGGGAGUCGUUCUAGAAUCUGAAGGACCGGAUAAAGAAGAAAAUUGACAAUUAGAGUCGUUCCAGAAUCUAAAGGAUCGGAUAAAUAAGAAAAUUGACAAUUGGAGUACUAGGCACCUAUCUCAAGGGAGAAAGGAAGUAUUUAUCAAGGCUGCUCUCCAAGCCAUACCUAAUUUUUCAAUGGCGUGUUUUUUAUUACCGAAAUCGUUAUAUUUGGAAUUAGAAAACAUCAUAGCUACUUUAUGGUGGCAAAAAAGUCCUUGCAAAAGAGGAAUUCAUUGGAGUGCGUGGAGAAACUUGUGUUUUUUAAACGAGAGAGGUCUUGGAUUUCAAAAUCUUUGCCAAUUUAAUAUAGCGCUAAUAGCUAAACAAGGUUGGCGACUUCUUUUUUAUCCCCAUUCAUUAUUAGCAAGGGUCUUCAAAGCCAAAUAUUAUCCGUAUUCAGAUUUUGUAAAUGAUAGAUUAGGUGAUCUUCCUUCAUUUACUUGGAAAAGUGUCUGGGCUACUAAGCGGUUGUUACAGGACGGGCUGUGUUGGAGAGUUGGUCAUGGAACCAGAAUAUCUGUAUGGGAUGAUUGCUGGAUUCCGGGAGUUGAUCCAAGAAGAUGGGAUACCAGAAAUGAUAAUGAUGUCAAGUUAGUGGCGAAUUUAAUUGAAGAUAUAAACAGAAUAUAGAAGACCAAAUUAAUUAAUAAUACCUUUCCAGCAGAUGUUGCUCAAAAAAUUCUGCGGAUACCCCUGGCGAAAACUCCUCAUGAGGAUUUUCAAGCAUGGAAAGGAGAGCAAUCUGGUGAAUUUUCAGUAAGAAGCGCCUACAAACUAUUACAAGAUGCCCAAUUGGAUCCUAAAGCUAAUUUAAUACAGACCGAUAUAAAGGAUUUCUACAAUAAGCUAUGGAAUCUACAGCUGCCUAACAAGAUUGUAAUAACAACAUGGAGAAUAUCUUGGAACUACAUCUCAACUCUAGCUAAUCUAAAAUAUAAACGGGUGACUAAUAACGUGACAUGUCCUCGCUGUGGAAGGGAGGAAGAAGAUAUCACCCAUAUCUUUCGGUAUUGUUUUGUGGCAAUCAAACAUGGCAAUUGUUAGACCAGGUGUGGAUCAGUGAAAGUAUGACUCAAGGAUUCUAGGAGUGGCUUACCUGGAUAUUUAGAUUGAGUACUUCUGAAUAGUGCAAGAUCUUUUGUUGUGGCUUGUGGUUUAUUUGGAGCUCAAGGAAUAAAUUCAUAAUGAACAGAAAGCAGAGACAGGAAGGGAGUUAUCUCUCAAAGUUUGAAAGUACAUAGCUGAACUUGAAGGGUUGAGGAUGAGGGAAAGUACCUUAAACACAAGUAGUAGUCACAAGCAUCGAGAAGGUUACACUAGAAUGACGAUCCAGUUUGAUGCAGCCUUUGAUAACAGGAACUUUAAGUCAGCAUUUGGUCUUGUGGUUUGGGGCGAAAGAGGAAGACUCAUGGCGAAGAAGACUGUUCUAUACAGGAAUGUUCAGUCACCAUUUGCUGCUGAAGCCCUGGCAGGUUUACAGGUGAUACAACUAGGAUGUGAAAUGGAUUGUCCCUUAGUGACGGUUAUAGGGGACUCUCGAACAAUCAUCAAGAAGUGCCAAGAAAUGAAGAGAGAUAAAUCAGUCACAUGAGCGAUUAUUAACGACAUUCAUAGUAAGAUGACUAGAUUUGAAGACCUUAGAUUCCAAUUUAUACACAGAACAGAGAAUAUUUUUGCUCAUAAGAUUGCAGAAGAAGCGCUAAAGAAGGAAGAAGAAACAUACCUGAUUAAAAGGAGAGGCGGUUCUCCGAAAGGGUGGUGGAGAAAAGAUCUAGAUUGAAGAGCCUAAUGGAAGAAGGAAAUGAUGUGGGUAGCAGGAAAUGCAGCUAUGAAACGGCUACCAAAAUGAACAGAUGGGACAGACGAUGGGACAAGACUAUGGAAAUAGAGUCUAGCUGUUAUUGUGUCGAUUAGCAUUAAUGAGUUAGGUUUUCUUUUUUGCAGUAAUUAGUUUUUGGCGUUUUUUCCAAAGUUGAUUUUAAAUUCGUAUUUGAUUUUUAUAGUUAGCAGGCUGAAGAUGUGUUUUCAGUCUGAUAAGUCUAAGCCCAGAUUGUGACCCAAUGUGGGUUUUUCUUCUAAUUAAUAAAAGCUAAUCGAC